rnacentral:rRNA from 1 species
GAUGAACGCUGGCGGCGUGCUUAACACAUGCAAGUCGAACGGAAAGGCUCCUGCUUGCAGGGGUACUCGAGUGGCGAACGGGUGAGUAACACGUGGGGGAUCUGCCCUGCACUUCGGGAUAAGCCUGGGAAACUGGGUCUAAUACCGGAUAGGACGAUGGUUUGGAUGCCAUUGUGGAAAGUUUUUCGGUGUGGGAUGAGCUCGCGGCCUAUCAGCUUGUUGGUGGGGUAAUGGCCUACCAAGGCGUCGACGGGUAGCCGGCCUGAGAGGGUGUACGGCCACAGUGGGACUGAGAUACGGACCAGACUCCUACGGGAGGCAGCAGUGGAGAAUAUUGCACAAUAGGCGCAAGCAUGAUGCAGCGACGCCGCGUGGGGGAUGACGGCCUUCGGGUUGUAAACUCCUUUCGCUAGGGACGAAGCGCAAGUGACGGUACCUGGAGAAGAAGCACCGGCUAACUACGUG